rnacentral:rRNA from 1 species
GGAAUUGCUAGUAAUCGCGGAUCAGCAUGCCGCGGUGAAUACGUUCCCGGGGAUUGUACACACCGCCCGUCACACCAUGAGAGUCGGGAACACCCAAAGUCCGUAGUCUAACCGCAAGGAGGACGCGGCCUAAGGUGGGUUCGAUAAUUGGGGUGAAGUCGUAACAAGGUAAC